AGCUCCAAUAGCGUAUAUUAAAGUUGUUGCGGUAAAAAAGCUCGUAGUUGGAUUUCUGUUGAGAACGCUCGGUCCACUCUAUGAGUGUGUAUCUGGGUUCUGUUCUCGGCAUCCCGUGGGAGAACGUUUCUGCGCUUAACUGCGUGGUGCGGCCUCUUCCACGCUUUUACUUUGAGGAAAUUCGAGUGUUUACGGCAGGCAUUGUCCGCUGUGAAGAUGUUAGCAUGGAAUAAUAAUAUAGGACCUUGGUCCCAUUUUGUUGGUUUCUGGAGCUGAGGUAUGUACGGUUAAUAGGAACAUUUGGGGGCAUUUGUAUCGGCCGGUCAGAGGUGGAAUUCUUGGAUUCGGUCGCGACAAACUACUGCGAAAGCAUUUGUCAAGGAUGUUUUCA
rnacentral:rRNA from 1 species